rnacentral:rRNA from 1 species
UCCAGACUCCUACGGGAGGCAGCAGUGGGGGAUAUUGCACAAUGGGCGAAAGCCUGAUGCGGCGACGCCGCGUGAGGGAAGACGGUCUUCGGAUUGUAAACCUCUGUCUUUGGGGAAGAAAUCAGACGGUACCCAAAGAGGAAGCUCCGGCUAACUACGUGCCAGCAGCCGCGGUAAUACGUAGGGAGCGAGCGUUGUCCGGAAUUACUGGGUGUAAAGGGAGCGUAGGCGGGACUGCAAGUUGGGUGUCAAAUCUACCGGCUCAACCGGUAGCCGCACUCAAAACUGCAGUUCUUGAGUGAAGUAGAGGCAGGCGGAAUUCCUAGUGUAGCGGUGAAAUGCGUAGAUAUUAGGAGGAACACCAGUGGCGAAGGCGGCCUGCUGGGCUUUUACUGACGCUGAGGCUCGAAAGUGUGGGGAGCAAACAGGAUUAGAUACCCCCGUAA